rnacentral:rRNA from 1 species
AGCCGACCUUGAAAUACCACCCUUUAAUGUUUGAUGUUCUAACGUGGACCCGUGAUCCGGGUUGCGGACAGUGUCUGGUGGGUAGUUUGACUGGGGCGGUCUCCUCCUAAAGAGUAACGGAGGAGCACGAAGGUUGGCUAAUCCUGGUCGGACAUCAGGAGGUUAGUGCAAUGGCAUAAGCCAGCUUGACUGCGAGCGUGACGGCGCGAGCAGGUGCGAAAGCAGGUCAUAGUGAUCCGGUGGUUCUGAAUGGAAGGGCCAUCGCUCAACGGAUAAAAGGUACUCCGGGGAUAACAGGCUGAUACCGCCCAAGAGUUCAUAUCGACGGCGGUGUUUGGCACCUCGAUGUCGGCUCAUCACAUCCUGGGGCUGAAGUAGGUCCCAAGGGUAUGGCUGUUCGCCAUUUAAAGUGGUACGCGAGCUGGGUUUAGAACGUCGUGAGACAGUUCGGUCCCUAUCUGCCGUGGGCGCUGGAGAACUGAGGGGGGCUGCUCCUAGUACGAGAGGACCGGAGUGGACGCAUCACUGGUGUUCGGGUUGUCAUGCCAAUGGCACUGCCCGGUAGCUAAAUGCGGAAGAGAUAAGUGCUGAAAGCAUCUAAGCACGAAACUUGCCCCGAGAUGAGUUCUCCCUGACCCUUUAAGGGUCCUGAAGGAACGUUGAAGACGACGACGUUGAUAGGCCGGGUGUGUAAGCGCAGCGAUGCGUUGAGCUAACCGGUACUAAUGAACCGUGAGGCUUAACCUUACAACGCCGAAGGUGUUU